UAUUGGUCAAUGGUCGGGAGACUGAACCAGCCAAGCCGCGUGAGGGAGGAAGGUACAGAGUAUCGUAAACCUCUUUUGUCAGGGAACAAAGACUGGGACGCGUCCCCGGAUGAGUGUACCUGAAGAAAAAGCAUCGGCUAACUCCGUGCCAGCAGCCGCGGUAAUACGGAGGAUGCGAGCGUUAUCCGGAUUUAUUGGGUUUAAAGGGUGCGUAGGCGGGCUUUUAAGUCAGCGGUAAAAAGUCGGGGCUCAACCCCGUCCGGCCGUUGAAACUGGGGGCCUUGAGUGGGCGAGAAGAAGGCGGAAUGCGUGGUGUAGCGGUGAAAUGCAUAGAUAUCACGCAGAACCCCGAUUGCGAAGGCAGCCUUCCGGCGCCCUACUGACGCUGAGGCUCGAAAGCGUGGGGAGCA
rnacentral:rRNA from 1 species